UUCGCAUGGUGAGAGGAACAAACAAGC
rnacentral:piRNA from 1 species